UACGGAGGGUGCAAGCGUUAAUCGGAAUUACUGGGUGUAAAGGGCUCGUAGGUGGCCAACUAAGUCAGACGUGAAAUCCCUCGGCUUAACCGGGGAACUGCGUCUGAUACUGGAUGGCUUGAGUUCGGGAGAGGGAUGCGGAAUUCCAGGUGUAGCGGUGAAAUGCGCAGAUAUCAGGAGGAACACCGGUGGCGAAGGCGGUUCUCUGGGCAUUACCUGACGCUGAGGAGCGAAAGUGUGGGGAGCGAACAGG
rnacentral:rRNA from 1 species